UCCGUUACGCAGCGAAAUCUCGUAAGAAGGCCUGUUAUAUAUAUACUGAAAAAAGUUAAACUACCAUUUUCAAUUAUGAGUAACAAAGAUGCAAGUAUAGUUACUAUAAAAUGAUCGCAAUCUAACUUAAAAACAAUAAGUGAAACAUCAAUAUUGUUUGCACAUUAGAGAAGCAAGUCCUGAUAUUAAAGUGCAAAGUUUUGCCAAAUGUUUUCAAUCUGCAAUAUAUAUGGAACUAUUAUGCCUAAAGUUUUAUAAAGUCUUUAUCUGCAGUGGAUAUCCUGGGGGAAUAGACUGAGUUUUAAGCUUCAUAAAUUUAUUAUGAUAAAAUAAAUGAUAUAACAAGGCUAUAUCAAACUUAUGGAAAUAGAUCAUUAUGAAAAAACUUUAUUGAGUAGAGUAAUUAAAGAAACAUAAGUGUCACAUACAGCAAAAUUCGAAAUGGUCGAUAAGUUAAAAGGCGGUUGUUUAAAGAGAAUAGUAGAAUAAAUAGCUUAAUAGAAUAGCAAAAAAACUGUUAUGUUUUGUAUGCU
rnacentral:lncRNA from 1 species